UACGUAGGGUCCGAGCGUUGUCCGGAUUUAUUGGGCGUAAAGAGCUCGUAGGCGGCUCAGUAAGUCAGAUGUGAAAACUCAGGGCUCAACCCGGAGACGCCAUCUGAUACUGCUGUGGCUUGAGUCUGGUAGGGGAUCACGGAAUUCCUGGUGUAGCGGUGAAAUGCGCAGAUAUCAGGAGGAACACCGGUGGCGAAGGCGGAUCUCUGGGCAACAACUGACGCUGAGGAGCGAAAGCGUGGGGAGCGAACAGG
rnacentral:rRNA from 1 species